rnacentral:lncRNA from 1 species
CUCUAUAUACUUCGUUUAGUUAGUUACUUCGAUUCUUAUAUUUAAAUAAAUAUUUGUCUUCAUAUUUUUUUCCUUAAGUUACAUCCAUAUUUUUGGUUUUCUUUCAUUUCAAUUUUGCUUCCAUUUAAAGCCUAACAGACCAUGGUACUUCUCUAUACUUUUUGUCUUUGACAACCCUGAACUCAAGUAGAUAACCGGCUUCCAAUUUCCAAUCAAAGUUCUUAGCUUAAUGAUGAAAACAUCCAGUAAUUGCAGGCCGAAGAUUCUGGAUGUCUAGAAAGGCUGUAAACUUAAAGUUGUGAAGAGUCCUGCUUUUCUAUUGUCAUUCAGAGCCCCAGUAAUUUAAAGAUACUCUGCACUCUUUUGGGGGGUCAUUUGUCAGAAGUGAGGUUUCAGCCCAGAAGCAUGUAAGACAUGACUAUAAUUGAAGGCCAACUAAAAGUCCUCUAAGACGCGUGAAUGUUCGAAUCAUAAAUAAAAGUACUUGGAAAAUAAUCAUUACCACUACAAAGCCUUAAGGGAAGCUAAUUCCUAUCAUAAUACAUCAAUCAUAGCAUCGGGAUGACAGUUUAUACAACAAAGUUUGGCCAAGAGACUCUUAAGACACGUGAAUGUUCGAAUCACAAAUAAAAGUACUUGGAAAAUAUUCAUUACCACUACAAAACCUCAAAGGAAGCUAAUUCCUAUCAUGAUACAUCAAUCAUAGCAUCGGGAUGGCAGUUUAUACGGUUAUGACAAAGUUUGGCCAAGAGAAAGUUGAUUGCUGGAUGCUGAAGCAAGUUAAAAAUAGAACAGCACAAGCAGAGAACAAAGAUAGAUUAAUGAUA